rnacentral:rRNA from 1 species
CUACGGGGCGCACCAGUGGGGAAUAUUGGACAAUGGGGGAAACCCUGAUCCAGCAAUGCCGCGUGUGUGAAGAAGGCCUGCGGGUUGUAAAGCACUUUCGGUCGGGAGGACUGCUUCUAGCACUAAUAUUGUUGGAAGUUGACGUUACCUUCAGAAGAAGCACCGGCUAACUCCGUGCCAGCAGCCGCGGUAAUACGGGGGGUGCAAGCGUUAAUCGGAAUUACUGGGCGUAAAGCGCGCGUAGGCGGCUAGAUCAGUCGGGUGUGAAAGCCCCGGGCUUAACCUGGGAACUGCAUCCGAUACUGUCUAGCUUGAGUACAGGAGAGGAGAGUGGAAUUCCACAUGUAGCGGUGAAAUGCGUAGAUAUGUGGAGGAACACCAAUGGCGAAGGCAGCUCUCUGGCCUGAUACUGACGCUGAGGUGCGAAAGCGUGGGGAGCAAACAGGAUUAGAUACCCCUGUAGUC